CCCAUGAUGGCACAUAUAGAACUCUAAAACACAUUUCUACACCAUGACACUCGCCUUCACCAUAGUAAUUUCUUAGAAACUUAUUGCGAUGACAAGGUGAAAACUCCAAUGAUCUAAGAAAUUCCUCCGAAAUAGAGGUUCUGAUACCAAUCGUUGGGACACUUAUAGUCCGAGCCUAGGAAAACAUUCAAUCAAACUCUUCUCCUUUCAAAAACUUAAAACCGUCAAGUGAUGAGCCAACAAUAUUUAUCAACUGUUCAGUCCUUCACUAAUUACCUGAUGUAGGAAUGAUUUAUCCCUAACAACCUCAAUCUGGUUCUUCAGCCCUGACCGGGAAUGAGGGCUCUUCUGACCUGUACUAAAAUUAGCCGCUCACGGUCCUGCCCUCUCAACGAAUAAAGAAAGCUAUUAAUGCAUGGCAUAUAUUGUCUUUCUUGAUCACACGCUAACACAGAAGACCUCUCGGUCCAAGGCAUUGGCAAUCAUUAUGAGCGAUAGAGGACAACUUGAUGGUGAAAGAUUAUGGUCCUAGAGAGAGAGAGAGAGAGAGAUGGGUUGCUUUUGGGUACUCCCGACUUAUAUUAGCUCCUCAUCAGCCGUUAGAUCAUGUAAAUCUGGCAUAGUUACCACCAGAUCUAAUGGCCUAGUUGAAGUGAACUAACAUAAGCUCGUAGUACCUCAUCAUUUUCCCAAACAAACAGUUGCUCCAUCUUUGCUGUUAUCAUACACGAAAGAGAACUCUGAAAAAACAAGCAGUACUAAUCACAUCAGAAUCACUAAAUGACUAUAUUUUGAUUUUAGUGUUGAAGAAGCUUUAUGCAGAGUGACUCAGCAUCACUAAAACACACCAACAAGAACAGAGGCUCAUAUCACAGAGCAAAAGUUAACUGUUCAAAUCGCCAACUGAGCAUAUUCCGACAAAGAUUUACAGGGUAUAGAAUUUUGUAUAUUUUUCCAACUGCACAUCAGAGUCUCGCAUUUGAUCUAUUCAGUCUGGCAUCAGGAUUUAUCACCACUCAUCAUCAAGGCUGGCACGGUGAAAGCACAUUACUGUGAAGACAAAUAUGAUGAAAGAUGUAAACUCGAUGAACAUAGCUCCCGUGUUAAUCAGAUCAGCGUGUCUGAGGAUAAUAGGAAUAGCAAA